GUCUUCGCCUAUCAGUGCCGGGUCUGCGCAGCCACAGGUUCCGGACGUCUUGGCCCCGGGAAUAAAUAAAGACAUAAACCAACCCGGCUUUCUCCGGAGGAAUGAGGGUGAUGAACAUAAGACACAAAUAGAGCCAAGAUCGACUUUCUUAGGAAGGGGGAGAGGAGGGAACUCUUCACGAAGGGAGGUGGGAGUCCACCUCAGACCUCUAUUGGAAGGAAAUCGAGUUGUUCCGGGGGACUGAGGUCUCUUGCAUAAGGCAUGGGAUCCUUAUUAUUAUUAUUAUUAUUUUUAAAUCCCCCGCGGAGGAGCUCUGGGCAAAUGAAUACCGAGGCGCCGCUCUAGCUGGUUAGGCUUGGGAUGCGAUAACUCAGUGCCCUCUUGCAGACUUGCAUAGAAAUAAUUACUGGGUUGUCGUGGAGGGGACACGAGACAGAGGGAGUUCUCCGUAAUGUGCCUUGCGGAGAGAAAGGUCCAAGAAUGCAAUUCGUCCCAGAGUGGCCCGGCAGGGGCGGGGUGCGAGUGGGUGGUGGAGUAGGGGUGGGAGUGGAGAGAGGUGGUUUCUGUAGAGAAUAAUUAUUGUACCAGGGCCCGCCGAGGCACGAGGCACUCUAUUUUGUUUUGUAAUCACGACGACUAUUAUUUUUAGUCUGAUCAAUGGGCACAAUUUCUAAGCAGCGCAGUGGUGGAUGCUCGCAAACUUUUGCGCACCGCUGGAAACCCACUAGGUUGAGUUGCAAAACGUACCGCGUAGACGCCCCUGGUGGCGCCGAGAGAAGAGCUAGGCCUGCCCAGCACAGAGCCGGAGAGCGUCGGGCCUUCCGGAAGGGUCGACGAGAUGAGUUCCUACUUGACCUCUGAGCCGAGGUGGGCCGGAAACCGAGGCCUAGGCCCCGCCGGGGCUGCAAGGAAAAGGGGAAACUCCGAGCGUAGCGUCUUUUCCUUGUGGUUCCUUUCUCCGGCAUCCCGGACUGCGGGCCCUGCAGCCACCUGGACCGGCAUUCAAAGGAUUCUGCAAGUCCAGCUUCACAGACUGGCUUUCCCAGACGCUCCGAAGCCCGCACCACGAACAGAAUAAAGGAGAGACGAGAGAUCGCAACUAGAUUUGAGAAUCCUCGUUCUUUUCCCCAAUCGUUCGGGCAGUAAACUCCGGAGCCGGCUACAGCGCGCAUCCUCCCUUCCUCCUUUCGGAGAACUGUCGCUUUCCCGAAGCUGCUCCCAGCUGGGUUUUCUCCCGAAGUUUAUUUUUCUCAUUUUGCAAAAUUCCUGCCCUGAUUUUAAUACUGCAACAGGACAGCAGAGGUUCCUCUUUAAAAAGUCAAAACCCAAACCAAAGGGGCCCAUUGCUGUUGAUAAUUUUUUUCUUCACCUUCUCCUUCCGUUUUUAAGAAAGACACUUCCAAAACUACCCAUUGUUUUCCUCUCAAAAGAGAACUCGCUUUAAAAUGCAUCCCUUUCUAUUUCUCUCCGGAUAUGUCCCCACCUGACCCGGUGGCAACUUGUGGGGCGUGGGGGUAGUGAAAAAUAGAAGUGUGGACGGGGCUGGGAAAAUGAAUAAGAAUUAUAACAAUAGAAAUGAUGACAAAACUAAACUUUGACCAAUUCAAUUUGCAAAAGAAAGGGUUGGUCUGAGGGUGAGACAUUCCCUGGUUUCUCAAGGGGGUCACUUUCCCUCUCACCGAGUUAAAUCUGGCUCUGUUAUAUUUUUUCCAGGAACACAGUAUGUCUCUUCCCAAUGUUUUAUUCGGUUUCUGGUUUCCCCACUUUUGACCGGAAGUAUGUGGGAAGAAUACUGGCUGUUAUUAUUAUGAUUAUUGAGUGUCCAAUACUCUCCUCCAAUAUUUCCACCAAGAAUUAUUAUCGCUGCUCUCCUCAUUCAUGUUAGUGUUGCUUUGUGUGCUUUAGAUGACAAUCGUCCUCUUUACUCUCCAAGUUUGGAGGGUGAGGGUUUUUUGUUGUGGUGGUGGUGGUUGGGUUCUUCUUUGUUUUUGUUUUUUUGUUUUUCCUGUUCGGGGUAAUGAAAUGAGAACUGGAAGAGAGGAUAUCAUUUCGAGGCCCAGCUGAGAAGGAUCCCAAUGCGAAAAAUUUACACACUUCAAAGAGCAGAAAGGUGGAAGCGAGUGGUGCUUGGACACAAGGAUGCCACUGUUCUUAUCUCCUCCAAUUUGGGAAGUGCCCAGCCUAGAAAGGUGAGGGUCCCAUCUGGGAGACCAUGGAGUACCCCCAGGGUCACACUGAGCCUAAGAACUUCAACCAUCCUGCAGGUCAAAACCCACUGAUAGGUCUCCCAAAAUGUUUGGGGUAGGGGGAAGAAACAUAGGGCAUUCCAGGUCUGUAACCCUGCAAGAGAGAGACUCAAACUAAUAUGUCUAGGUCUGGGGUGAAGGUGGGGGGCCUGUCUGGAUACCUCCUCCCUCAAUUGAAGGGCUCGUUGGAAACAUAGGAACCCACUGCUCUCUGGGACUCUGGAAAGACAAAUUUUCUUUGGCAAACGGAACAGUGUCGCGCUGUCGACAGAGCAGACUAUUUUUCUUGUUCCCUCACAAGGUGGGGGUGGGGGGAAAGAAAAGGAAGCAAGAAAGAAAGGGAAAUUAAAUCCACACGUGUUAAGCUCGCUCAAAGGGCCAGAGUCAAAACCAGAGAUGAAACUUCGACUCCAGUUCUGGCUGCCCGCGGGCCUCUUUCCAACCAGCCAGGCCUCACAGAGCAAGGCAUCCCCACUGGAGAGAAUUCGAUCUGAUGUUUCAUAAAGCGCUUUAUUUAAGGAGAAGGGGCAUGGGUCUGUCUCCAAGUCUGUGCUGCAGAAAUCCAGAAUUUGUAGCGGCAAAGAAAACAAAGGAGAUAACAAUUGUAAUCAUAAUGACCCUCUUUAUGAAAACUCAUCUUGAUGUCCUCCAAAUCAAAACAACAAUUCAGGCAAUAUUCAAGCAAUGGCCAAAAUCAUCCAGGCCAUUAAAUCAUCCAGGCCAUUGUUUUACAAAAUUCCUAAGGUCUGAUCAGGCUUUCGGACUUGGGCCUAGCUGGGUCAAGAGAACCUGAAAUGCUGUUGUCAAGAGACUCUGAAAUCACCAGUUUAAUCAGGACAGCUAAUCUCUACAUCCUUGAGGCCUCUCUUUUGGGGAGAGACUUUCUUGAGAGAGGACACUACAGGACUCAGCUACAGAGCUCUGCUAUACAUGGGUGGGAGUGGAGGCCGCCACCCCACCUGGAACUGUGAGUGAAAACUCUAGUAAUGAUCUUGAGGAGGUGAAGGGAGGUAGGUGGGGGUGUGGGUGAUGAGGGAGGCCAAACCCCAAUCUGGAAGGAUCUGUCACUGAAACAAUUGCUUGGUCGAGACCUCUAAUUUUUCUUCCUCUCCAGCCAGUCUCCUGUGGCUCCCUGGUGCUGGGUUUCUGGCCUUUGGUGACAUCCUAACAGAAGGGUCCGGAAGCAGGGACCCCAGACACCUUGCUCCCUCUCCCAAAUCACACCCAAAACAUACUGGGGUGAAACAACUGACAGAGGGUCUCUGUGGUGAGCAACUGACUGAAGUUUCCAGUGGAAAAGUUCCUGACGAUUGUUUCCGCAGGGACCUUGAAUUUCCUGGUCACCAUGGCGACCUGGAAGUCCCACCGAAUGCUCUCAACAAUGGGGUACCCCGAGGACAUUCGUGCAAUUGGCUGCGCAGUCUGAGGCCUGAAAAGCGUUUCUGCCAAUCGUUCUUGACUUUCUGGAGCCUCCUUAGUGGGUUCAACGGAGCAGGGAUUUUUAAAACUGCCCCCUUUUUUAAACAGGGGAGAAAAUUGAGAUUUAGUACCAGGUGGGUUCAGGUCCUGAGCAAAAGCCCCAUCUUUGAAUUCAGAAUGCUGACCCCAGGGCCGAUCGUGUAGAGCCUAUGGUGUAUCUUAAUCGAAACCCGUGGCCCAAACAUCUCAGCCAGGAACCUGGGACUUUAGGUGUCACUUAAUCUCUUCACACCUGUUAACUACACCUAUCUGCAUAGGAGGCUCCCCACAUCAGUCCAGGCAACUUUUUUCUUUGCCUGGGGCCAUUUCUUCUAAAUGGAAGGAGAAAAGUCUGAGCAUUAGAAAUUGUGGCAUUAAUGUCUGCAAGGGCUAAUGGAGUGAAAAGAAUACAUUAUUCUCCUUUUCUUCUUAGAAAAAAAUUUCAAUUGUGGAUGUAAUAGAAAUACCAUUAAAAUAAUAUUUCUGAUUGCA
ensembl:lncRNA TBX5-AS1 TBX5 antisense RNA 1